CCCUUAGAUGUUCUGGGCCGCACGCGCGCUACACUGUUCGACGCAGCGAGUCUUAACCUUGACCGAAAGGUUUGGGUAAUCUUCAGCAAAGUCGAACGUGAUGGGGAUCGAUCAUUGCAAUUAUUGAUCGUGAACGAGGAAUUCCUAGUAAGUGCAAGUCAUCAGCUUGCGCUGAUUACGUCCCUGCCCUUUGUACACACCGCCCGUCGCUACUACCGAUUGAAUGGUUUAGUGAGAUCUCUGGAUUGACGCUGGCUAGGGGGCGACACUUGGCCAGACUGUUGAGAAACUGCUCAAACUUGAUCAUUUAGAGGAAGUAAAAGUCGUAACA
rnacentral:rRNA from 1 species